CAUGGCUCAGGACGAACGCUGGCGGCGUGCUUAACACAUGCAAGUCGAACGAUGAAGCGGUGCUUGCACCGUGGAUUAGUGGCGAACGGGUGAGUAAUACGUGAGUGACCUACCUUUGACUCUGGGAUAAGCCUGGGAAACUGGGUCUAAUACCGGAUACGACCAAUCUCUGCAUGGGGUGUUGGUGGAAAGCGUUAUGGAGUGGUUUUAGAUGGGCUCACGGCCUAUCAGCUUGUUGGUGAGGUAAUGGCUUACCAAGGCGACGACGGGUAGCCGGCCUGAGAGGGUGACCGGCCACACUGGGACUGAGACACGGCCCAGACUCCUACGG
rnacentral:rRNA from 1 species